rnacentral:rRNA from 1 species
CUUCGGUAUCCGCGUUGUAACCUCGAGACACGUUUUCCGUGCGGCGCUAUGGACAAGUUCCUUGGAACAGGACAUCGUAGAGGGUGAAAAUCCCGUACUUGCCAUGGAUGUACCGUGCUUUGCGAUACGUGCUCUAAGAGUCGAGUUGUUUGGGAUUGCAGCUCAAAAUGGGUGGUAGACUCCAUCUAAAGCUAAAUAUCGGGGAGAGACCGAUAGCGAACAAGUACCGUGAGGGAAAGAUGAAAAGCACUUUGGAAAGAGAGUUAAAAGUACGUGAAAUUGUCGAAAGGGAAGCGCUUGAAGUCAGCCAUGCCGCUCAGGACUCAGCCUGGCUUUUGCUUGGUGUAUUUCCUGGGUAGCAAGUCAGCAUUGGUUUGGAUCGUCGGAGAAGCAUAGUCGGAAUGUGGCGCCCUCGGGCGUGUUAUAGCCUUCUAUUGGAUACGACGAUCUAGACCAAGGAACGCAGCGCGCCUUAUGGCGGGUCUUCGGACACCUUCGCGCUU